AGGAGUUAGAAUUACCCUAUCAAUAUUGGGCUCAUUUUGAAGCUCGUAGUAAAUGGCGAAUUAUGGACUCAAGAAAAAUUCAAUUUGGAUUCGUUAAACUUGAGUUAUAGCCAAUUAAGAAAACUACUUAGUUAAUAAUAUUAUUUAUUAAUUCGAGCUAAAUUACAAUAUCAAUAUUGGACUCCUUUGAUGGAUAAUAAUUAAUUAUAUAUACUAGGAUUAAGGAAAAGAUAUUUUGGAUAAGUUGAAUUAAGAAAUAAUCAAUAGAAGAAUCAAGGCAUAAAGGAAAUUCUAAUUAAUUAAUAAACUUACCUU
rnacentral:lncRNA from 1 species